GGUGAACUUUCCUUCUUGGCAAUAUCUACUACCCCUCCUGGGUGGUAUUACAGGAGUUUAUAGCAGUCUCCAACUGGAAAUAGUAUCAGGAUGCUGCUCCAACGAUCUUUCACGUCAAGGUCAGCCCACCCCCCAGUUGGGAACUGGUGGGAGCUACAGCCUGAAAGGACAGCGGAAGGAGGAGGGAAGACACACUAUAUUCAUCUACUCCGACAAGCAUCACGGGCAAAGCAAAAGCAAUGGAGAUGACUGGUCUGUGGGGACGGGGGUGGCACUCUCACAGGGAUGGCCGUGGCAGACACUGCUGAAGCCCAGAGCCACUACAACACUGCGACUUCAUGGCACACACAGUUAGGGGCAGUGAGAAAGGUUUACUUAACUGUUCUAGGCUGUAGCAAGGAUGGUUUAUGUUUGUGCUUAAAGGUGAAGAGAAGAAAAGAAAACAAGGAGAGAAACUUUAGGUCAGAUAUAGAAAAUGAGAAUGAGCUCAAUGCAGAUGGUCAGUAAGCUAGACAUGCCCUUGCCACUCUAGCUACACUUGGGAACGUGCAGCUGGCUUUGCUGGGCCACCCUGCUGCCCAGCAAACCCAGACUCGACCUUUUCAGUCUCCAUUUCUACUCCAGAGAGAAUGUGCAAAAAAUCAAUCCAACACCACCUGUAAGUCCAGCAUUUCACAAAUCUCAUUGCAAAUGCAUCUGGGGACCCAGGGAACCCCGCUCUGUAUUCUAAAGAGAUGAACGUGUAAAGGUCACAGGCCCUAAGAGGCUCUACAGCCAUGAGCCUACUGUCCACCCUUCUACCCUCAUCUCCCUUAUAUCAAGCUAGUCCUAAUUCUUAAGGAAACAGCAAUACUGCUCUGAAAACAAGAAUCCUUAAGUACUUUUCCAGAGAAGAUGUAGUUUUCUUUGGAGGAAGAAACCACAGUGGCCCACACCAGACAGCUUUGGCUAUCUGGACCUUAAAAAGCUUGGGGCCUCUUUGUGCCACACUAGGGGGACAGGGCAUCAGAAGGUGGCCACUAAACAAUUUCCAACAUAUAAAACCAUAGAGAAACAAUUACACAGCUCCCCCCUUACCCAAUGAGACAAUCUCCUCUGGACUCUGCUGCCCCAAGGGAGAAGCAACCAACCCCACAUGUCGUUCUAUAGAAUUAAAUGUAGGAAAUCCUGCCUCCCCCCCCCCCUCCCCCCGAAUAGCUCCCAACCACGGAGCUUCCACCUGUUCCAGGUGGGGACACGUCCCGUCCCCACCUAGGGCAGGUAGGUAGCAAGAAGUUAGAGCCCACCCCCGUCCCACAGCCUUCCCAGACAAGGUCACAAAAGACCCACAUUUUAAAAGGGAAUCUGCUUCCUUCUCUCCAAAACCCUGGAUGUGCAAAAGGGCUAUCGGAGUUAAAGGGAGUCACGAUUCUGCAACACAAAUCGAUGGGUCAUACCCCCAACCUUAUAACUCUUAGGCAAUCCCCAGAGUGCCAAUCUGAAAUAAUUCAGAAAGCAAAGCAACUUGUGACAUAACAGGAACAUUAACUCUAAACAAAAAGUAGAAUCAAAACAAGAAAAGGAAUUAGUUUUGCAACAUACACAUAACCAAUCACGUCAGCGAAGGGUUGUUUGUAGAAAGCUUCAUCUGCCACCCUAGACAGCAAGAGGUCCAAAAGGCAGGCAAGCAGGCAGGAAAAAAGAGAGAACAUUGAGAAGCAGAAACAUCUCAAAUCCACAGUAGAGGCAUGACUGUGCUCCAGGGCGCUGCUCCCAAGGCUCCGUCCUCACCCAGCAAGGCUUCAAGUGCUGGAGACCAGCAGGCAAGGUUCUCCACUGGCCUUCCCCAGGGGCGGGUUCUCCCAAGGGAGCCCUGCCAACUCCUUCCCCACCUUCUCCUGACAACGGCGAGCCUUUCUCAGCACCCGCUUCCAGGUAAGCCCUUUUAGAGACUCCGAAUCCAUCCGAUCCAAUCCUCAACCCCAACGACCUAGGAGAACACUAGGACGUGGUCUCACCAACACUUUACAGAUCAGGUAACAGGAGGCCUAGAGAUGAAGCAACCUGCUCAAGCCCAGGCGGCAGAACUCAGAAGCAGGCCAGCCUGGCUCUCUGCACUGUGCUAUAAGGCUCCUUCCCCGCUGGCAGAUGACCGGGAAGCCACCCCGCCUUCCCGUCAGCCUCAGGGAGUCUCGCUAGGCACGAACGCUGCCAGCUGCCUGACACCAAACACGCUAGGCCCCAAAGCCAUUAUCCAACUACUGCUUCCGAACCACCCUGGCUGAAUGGGAUCAGUUUUCAGUAUUCUGGGAACAGAUGAGGAAAAAGUUGCCGGACACAAGUGGUCUGGCGGAAAGGACUGCAGCCCAGGGUCCUGGCUCUGGCACCGUCUUCCUGUGUGUCCCCGAAUAAGCUGGUUCGUCCGCUCAGUCCAUGCCAGACUGGACUGCCACCACAAGGUGCAGUCCAGAAACCCCAACUUCACUUCCCCUCUCUCUCACACCAGGAAUGGAUCAAAGUGGCAGGGCUCUAUGAGACAGAAAGGGAAGGGGGGCACGCUGGGUGGAGGAGUUUACACCCCCACAGACAGGCUGGCUUAUUUAGACUUUGUUGCCCCAGGCUGAAUCCCUGGGCCCAGCCAGCCCACCCCAUCUAUUGUGGGUGGGCAGGGAACCUCCCUGCGGAAAUCUUACCCUGUCCUUUGCCACGCUGGUUUUGGGGCACAGGAGCGGAAGGGGCAUUUUGAAGGAAAAUCAUGCCUGUUUAUUAACCUAGGGUCACUUAUUUAUUUAAAGGGAAAUUCUAGUAAUUUUAUUUCAGUUUAUUUUUAGACUCACCCACAGCCUGCCUUCUUUCCCAUUUUGGUUUAUACAUGGGAGGUGUUUUGUGGAAAUUUGAUUGUAACUCUCAGUGAGUCAGCAGGAAAACAGAGUUGUUUGUGGGCAGAAUGAGUGGGCGGGAAAGGAAAGGCCAGACAGCUUGUAAGCCCAUAAUCCUUUUAGUUUACACAAAGGGCUAAACCUAAUCAAUUUCAGUUUGUGCUUGCUCCUACUGGAAGAAAAUAAAGGUUUAGUGACUCCAGGGGAGGCAUCACUAAGACAACAAAAGCCUGAAUGCCAGGCUUCAGUUCCUUUGCAGUUAGCCCCGAGACUAAAGAGCUUGUUAGUGACAGCAGAGCCCCAUCUGGGUCGGGUUACAGACAAGCAGGACAAAUGGAAAAUCAUCAUCUAAGUGGCCUGUUUGUUCUUCACCCACCAGACAGAAGGGCCUGAACGCAGCAAUCCUCAUGGAAGCCUGUGGGAAAGGCUGCUUUCCCACAGGGUGCUCAAGAGGUGACCCACAUCAAUAGCCCCAA